GGGGAAGUAGCUCAGUCAGGCUAGAGCAGAGGGCACUCAGGUCAGUGGUUCGAAUCCACUCUUCUCCA
rnacentral:tRNA from 1 species